AAGAAAUUAACUAAGAUUCCUUGAGUAGCGGCGAGCGAAAUUGGAAAAGCCCAGCACUAAGUCCUCAUAUUGUAAUGAUAUGUAGGAGAUGCAGUGUAUAAAAUGUCUAUUAUCCUAUAUAUAUGGUAAUACGUUCAAGUCCAUCUUGAAUGGGGCCAUUUAACCCAUAGAGGGUGCCAGGCCCGUAGUAACUAUUACAUUGUAUAGGAAGGCAUUUUUAAGAGUCGUGUUGCUUGAUAGUGCAGCACUAAGUUGGUGGUAAACUCCAUCUAAGGCUAAAUAUGACCACGAAACCGAUAGCGAACAAGUACCGUGAGGGAAAGUUGAAAAGCACUCUGAAUAGAGAGUUAAAAAGUACGUGAAACCGCUUAGGGGUUAAGCCCGAUGAACCUGAAUAUCUGAAAUGGAAAAUUCAAUAGUAUUUUAUUUGUUUAAUUACAAACAAAUAAUAUUAUGCACUUUUUCCAUAGUAAGACAUUGCAAUUUAUUAGUAUAUAUCAUUUUUUUUUUAUAAAAUUUGAUAGUUUAUUAUACGGCACUAUAUAGCAAGUUUAUUCGCUUUAUAUUAUAUUUUAUUAUAUAAUAUUAUUGAAUAAGGCUAUAAUAAAUGGUGACCCAAUAAACAGCUGAUAAAGUAAACAAUCUAAUUGCACUGGCAUACGCAAGUAUGUAACACGAUUUAUUUCAAUUAUUGAAAUUUGAAUGCAGUGUUAGUGUAUAUUUGAUUAGCAAUGCGAUAGAUUUGGGAUACCUUCGGGACCCGUCUUGAAACACGGACCAAGAAGUCUAACAUGUGUGCAAGUCAUUGGGUAUAAAUUGGAUGAAACCUAAAGGCAUAAUUAAAAUAACUAUAAAAAAUUUUUAAAUGGGAUUAUGAGUGAUCUAAUUUAUGUAUCAUUCUUCCAUCCCGGGGCGCUCAUAUAUAAACAUGAUUUAAGCAAUUGAAUUCUCUGUUUGUGAGCGUACCUUAAGCAUACAUGCUGUGACCCGAAAGAUGGUGAACUAUACCUGAUCAAGUUGAAGUCAGGGGAAACCCUGAUGGAGGACUGAAGCAGUUCUGACGUGCAAAUCGAUUGUCAGAGUUGGGUAUAGGGGCGAAAGACCAAUCGAACCAUCUAGUAGCUGGUUCCUUCCGAAGUUUCCCUCAGGAUAGCUGGUGCAAUGAAAAUUAUAUAAAUAUAAUCUUAUCUGGUAAAGCGAAUGAUUAGAGGCCUUGGGGUCGAAACGACCUCAACCUAUUCUCAAACUUUAAAUGGGUAAGAACCUCAUCUUUCUUGAUGUGAAGAUAUAGAGGUUUAGAUAUAUUGUGCCCAGUGGGCCACUUUUGGUAAGCAGAACUGGCGCUGUGGGAUGAACCAAACGUGAUGUUACGGCGCCAAAAUUAAUGACUCAUAUUGACACCAUGAAAGGCGUUGGUUGCUUAAAACAGCAGGACGGUGGACAUGGAAGUCGUAAUCCGCUAAGGAGUGUGUAACAACUCACCUGCCGAAGCAACUAGCCCUUAAAAUGGAUGGCGCUCAAGUCAUAUGCCUAUACAUUACCGCUAAAAUAUAUAAGAUUUCAAGCCAUUUUAUUAGUGGAGAAAUUUUUUGAAAUUUUAGUGAGUAGGAAGGUACAAUGGUGUGCGCAGAAGUGUUUGGCGUAAGCCUGCAUGGAGCCGCCAUUGGCACAGAUCUUGGUGGUAGUAGCAAAUAAUCGAAUGAGACCUUGGAGGACUGAAGUGGAGAAGGGUUUCGUGUGAACAGUGGUUGAUCACGAGUUAGUCGGUCCUAAGCUCUAAGCAAAUGCUGUUUAAUUUAUGUUAUUAUAUAUAUAUAUUAUUAUAUUGUUGUACAUAAUUAUGAAAGAGCGAAAGGGAAUACGGUUCCAAUUCCGUAACCUGUUGAGUAUACGUUUGUUUAUUAAAAAUGGGUCUUGUACACUCAUCCUGGUAACAGGAACAACCAUAGAGAAGCCUUCGAGAGAUACUGGAAGAGUUUUCUUUUCUGUUGAACAAUCGUAUCACCAUGGAAGUCUUUCACAGAGAGAUAUGGUGAAUGGAUUGGAAGAGCAUGACAUUUACUGUUGUGUCAGUAUUUUCUCCUUGGACCUUGAAAAUCUAUGGUAGGGCCACGCAAACUUCUCAACAGACCGUACCGAUAUCCGCAGCCGGUCUCCAAGGUGAAGAGUCUCUAGUCGAUAGAAUAAUGUAGGUAAGGGAAGUCGGCAAAUUAGAUCCGUAACUUCGGGAUAAGGAUUGGCUCUGAAGAUUGAGAUAGUCGGGCUUGAAUGGAAAACAAUUAUUACGGAUUAUGUGCUUUGUCUGGGUAAUGAAGAAUUAAUAUUUCGUUAAUUCGCGAUAUUAAUUUGUUCCCCGGAUAUGAGAUUUAUAUAACCAAAUUGUGGAACAUUCUUGCUGUGCUGGUAAAAUGAUUUUUAAUCGAAUUAUUUUAUCGAAAACGAUUAUCAAUAAACAAUUAAUUCAGAACUGGCACGGACCUGGGGAAUCCGACUGUCUAAU
rnacentral:rRNA from 1 species